GCGGGGUCUGUUCUUCCCAGCCUGGCGGAGAAAGCACAUGGUCCUCCUGCAUUUUACUGUUUCUCUACGAAGUGACACAUUUCCCAAAGGAAAUACAACACUCUCGUGAUUGUAUUCGAGGGCACUAAAUCUGUGAGAAGACCCAGCUCCCAGAGGAAUUACUCAGAAGAGCUGCCGGCCAUGGCCCAGUCUCUGCCUCCUCAUCUCCCUGUGGGAACAACAGUCCUAAGAAGAUUACAUUACACAAAUAACAAUCAGCUUGAACAGAGGACAAACCAGAAGAGAGUCCAUUAAACCUUUCACAUCAUUACAAGCCUCAUUGUUUUGCAGAUGAGCAACAUAAAGUAGAACAUAUGCAUGAGGCCACUUACUGACUCUGGAUAGCAGAGAUUUCAACUAUCUGAACCUAGUUCGUUGCCGUUAUAUAUUUCUCUUGCCUGAUGUCCUGGUUUCUUCAGCUGAGCCAGUAUUAACAGCACACCAGUGCUUCUGUUGCUGAAGAAUGAGAGCACAGCCAGGGUCAGGCCAAACCCUUUGGCACAGAAGAGCAGCUGCCUUGAUGGCAUGGUGACAGCAUGCAAACACUUCCAGGACUGCUGGCCUGAAUUAGGCAAGAGGUUAUUCCAUACCAUGUGACAGCUUCUGGAAGGCUACAAAGAGGUGGGGGAUUGGUCAUGUGUUUGCCAGCAGGUGGUAAGCAAUUGCAUAGUGAAUAUAUAUAUGCUAUCCAUACAUAUAGGUAUCAUUGUAUUUUUAUUUCUGUUUUCUUUUUCUGUCUUAGCAAAUAGCUAUUUCAACCCACAAGUUGUAUUUUGUUUCCAAUUCUCUCCUUCAUUCCAGUUGGUGGGGAAUGAGCAAACAGCCGUGUGAUGCUUAGCUACUUGCAGGGUUAAACCACAACACCUGAAGGAUAUCAGAAUGUUGGAUUGGAUCUGUAUAUUCUUAGAUUUGACUGAAGAUAUAGGAGGUUUUAAUUUAAUCCUAACAAAUUUAGAUUCUGUUUAUGCAGCUAUCUAACAGGAAUACAAAUAAUCUCUCCCAAUUUAGCAUCAUCUGCAAACUUACUUAUUGUGUAUUUGAGUCCUACAUCUAUAUUGAUUAUAAAAAUCUGAAAGAGAACUUACUCUAAAAUAGAGACUUGUGGGACACUGCUAAUGACUGGAUAGUAGACCAUUUCUUAUAACACUUCAAGCCUAACCCAUUAGUCCAUUGCUCAGCCAUGACAUUAUGUUUUUGUCAAACUGCAUGCUGGAUAUUUUGUCCACAAGGAUAUUGUGACAAAAAGUACCAAAACCUUUGCUGAAAUUCAAAAAGAUUACAUCAUAUGGCUUCUCUUGGUGCACUAGUUGGAUUACCAUCUCAUAAAAGGAAAUUAAGUUCAUUAAGCAGGGCUUCCCCCCCUUGAACUGAUGGCUAUGACCAAUGGCUGUGUUGACUUCUUUUAUUUUUCAUUAACUCUCAGAAUAAACUUCUCCACAAUUUUACAAGACACAAAAGUGACACUUAUAGGCCUACUUUUGCACUUCCUUGAAUCUGGGAAAAUGUUUGCCAUUUUGCAUAAAGAUUCCUACCAGUAACUCUUGAUUCAGGAUCCUGCACUUCCUGCAAGCUAAAUGAAAUGUGAAUGAGGCUCACUGUGUAUGUUUAACCAAAAGGGAUAGAAAAGUCUCACACUGAGUAUGCAUAUCAAAUUCUUCACAGCUGGUGAACUUUUGUAUACUAACUUAUUAUUGUACUUUACUUAGCCUAAAUGCCAAGAGGUAAUGGAGGGUGAAACUGGAAGGGAUGUCUGGUUCAGUUAAGAUUUUCUAAGAAUACUGUGAUGCUUAAUGAAAGAAAAGAGUCAAACCCUUGGACCAUGGAGCUGAUUUUCAAAAGAAAAUAUCGAUAAAUCUUUUCUCAUGUGAUUUCUCUUACUCUUCACUUCUGCCUGGAUAUGGCAAUUGAAAGAAGAGAAUCUUUCUGCAAUGGUAGGAAAACCAGGUGAUUAUCAUAUGUCUUUUUUGCUUCUAUAUACAUCCAAACUAAAGAAAAGUUAUUAAGAACACAGGAAAACUUCAGAGAAGCUCAAAGAUAAUGCAUUGUGAACUUCCUCAUCUUUCAAAAUGAAUGCUAGUAUUGAUUAUUCAUCACAGGUCACAUACCUAUAAUACUGAGAAAGUUGUUUUUUCCCUGAAGAAUGGGAACCCUGUAUAGCAAAGAAAUAAUAGCAUGAAUUAAUGUGUAGUUUGGAUGUGUCAUGAACAAAAAUGUAACAGGAAAAUAUCUUAGGUAAGCAUAUAGGUAGACAGAAAGUGGUUGACUCAAUUUAUUUCUCCUCCAACAUUUCUCAUAAAUCCAUUUAAUUCCCUUCCUGUACUCUAAAAGGAGGUUAAAAUCCUUCCACGGUUCCAAUCACAAACCCUACAUCUUUUCUCAUGAAACUAUUAAAUUAUAUUCCAUCAGUCCUCGUGGAUCUAUUCACUUUCUCUCCUACUUGCACAAUUCACUGUGAGUGGGCAAACUGCUUAUAAAAAUCUUGGGAUUAGAAGUGAAGAGCUGUUGCAGUUUAUUGGUCAAAACCAAGCGGAAUUACUCUCUGAGGAGUUGAAGGAAGCUUACUUGGAAUCUGUCUGUAUUUUACUUGGGUCCUUUGGGCCCCAUUAGUCCCUCACUUUCAUUAUCCUAAGCACCGAUUCGUUUCACUUACUCUCACCUUUCCCCGUGGCCAUAUUACUUACAAUAUCUUGAUGUAAUAAUUUUAUUGCUUUGUUUUUCCUCAUAAAACUUUAUUGACAUCAUAAAUAAAACAUAAUUUUCUGAUGUAUUUGCAACAAUAACUAUACUCUUAUUCAUACAGAUAUUGAUUCCAUGCCCAUCAUAUAAGUAUUUUAUAGGAUAAGAAGUCCUAGAAAUAAAAUAAUUGUAUCACGAGUGAUUCCAUAAUAAAUACCUCUCCCACUGUAAAUCAAUCAUGUAUUGUCUUAGUUAGGAAUAAUCACUUUUUCACUGCAUGAUUGUUUCAGUAAAAAAUUAAUACACUUUAUAUUAGAUGCAAUGGUUAGCAUGCUGGAUACUUCAGUGGUGUGCCUUUCCUGUUGUGUUUUUGAGGCAAUUGUUCGGCACAGGCAAACUAAUUUUCUUUUGCUUUGUAUUACCUUGAGGUUUCCAGAUAUUCUUGCAUACCUCAGCAUUACACACUGCCUGUAUAAAGGGCUUUCUUCUGGCCAUUCAAUUGGAUCCUUUAUGUUUUCAUCAAUGAGGUACUGUAUUCAUUAUAUGAAUGUUCAUUGUUACUCCAGUUACAGUUAAGAGUAAUGAUUGCACACAUUAGAUAUGUAAGUUAAUCAGAGCACUUCAAGUCAGAAGGAUUCUGAGGAGGAGAGGUUUGCUAAAUGUAGUGAAUGAACAGAAAGGCUCACCCAGUUCUUGGUAAGUGCAUAUAUACAAGAUUCUUGAUAUACUUUCUAGUGAUCCUUGGCUUGCUCAGUGUAUUUAUCACUACUAUGCUUUCUUAGAUUUCUUACAUUUCCAAUAUAAUAAAAGCUGUAAUGUCCAUUUAGGAUCAGGUUAACAUAAGUUUUUAUUCUUACAGAAAGAGUGUGAAUACAUUUGGUUUAGUUCCUCCACCAGAAAGACAACAGUUAACCUGUUUACAGAUGCUCUCUGGACACCUUGAUAUAAUUCAAAGCUUAAAUUGGGUCUUGCAUGUACACUUUGGUCCUAUCAACAGUGAGUUAUGGUAGGAUGUUUGUAUGAUGAAUAGUGUUUGGAGAGAAAAAGAAAAAGAGCACAAAAGAAAAAAUUAAAAAUGGGAAUUCUUUUUGUUGUCUAAUGCAAAAGCGUUUCUAAAAUGUCAAAGCAAAUCCUUUGCUAUUUGGAAUCCAUUUCUUGGAUCUUUUUUUCAUUUUUGAAAAUUGUUGAAACUAAGCAUUUGCCUCACAUAACUUUCAAUUGCUUAAAUAAAUAUUUAAUAGCAGAAACAAA